rnacentral:rRNA from 1 species
UACGGAGAGUGCAAGCGUUGUUCGGAAUCAUUGGGCGUAAAGCGCGUGUAGGCGGGAUGGUAUGUCGGGUGUGAAAGCCCUGGGCUUAACCGAGGAAUUGCGCCCGAAACUGCCAUUCUUGAGUACGGGAGAGGGAAGCGGAAUUUCCAGUGUAGAGGUGAAAUUCGUAGAUAUUGGAAGGAACACCGGUGGCGAAGGCGGCUUCCUGGACCGAAACUGACGCUGAGACGCGAAAGCGUGGGGAG